CGGAUGAACGCUGGCGGCGUGCCUAAUACAUGCAAGUCGAACGAAGGUAGCAAUACCUUAGUGGCGAACGGGUGAGUAACACGUAGGUAACCUGCCUUUCAGUUGGGGAUAACCGAGGGAAACUUUGGCUAAUACCGAAUUCGUGCUUCGAAGGCAUCUUCGGAGCAUAAAAGGGGCCUUUAAAGCCUCGCUGAUUGAUGGACCUGCGGCGCAUUAGUUAGUUGGUGAGAUAACAGCCCACCAAGACGAGGAUGCGUAGCCGACCUGAGAGGGUGAUCGGCCACACUGGAACUGAGACACGGUCCAGACUCCUACGGGAGGCAGCAGUAGGGAGUUUUCGGCAAUGGGGGAAACCCUGACCGAGCAACGCCGCGUGAGUGAUGAAGGUCUUCGGAUUGUAAAGCUCUGUUAUAAGGGAAGAACGGCAGCUAGAGGAAAUGCUAGCUGUUUGACGGUACUUUAUGAGAAAGCCACGGCUAACUACGUG
rnacentral:rRNA from 1 species